rnacentral:lncRNA from 10 species
CCCAAAGAAAAAAACAAAUGUUACCCAAUAGGCAAACAAUGCUGAGAGUUCACUUCCUCUAACUCUGUAGUUAAGUUACUCACUCAGUAUAACAUCACCCUCCUGCCAGGGGUUGAAGUCAGGAAGUAGUUUAUUUUCGCUGAAACUGAAGGGGGAAGUUAAAGAGAAAAAUAGCUGCAACUUGGUCAAUUCAGGAAAACCAGGUACGAAAAAAGAGGAGCAAGUUAAAGGGAAAGCCAGCUCGGAUUUGCUCACCAGUAAAAGGCAAAAAUCCCAGUGUUAUUCAUCUGCAUUUGGUGUGAAAGACAAAAGCUCAACUGGGAUCUGAGGCUUUCUGUGUCAGAGGGCAAGGAGUCAAUGGGGUUAUGAGGAAGUAAGACCACUUGAGACAUCAAAGAAAAGUAGAUCAAAUCACUAGACUCCUCCAAACAGGAGUGGGUGAAGACAAAAAGUGGAGAGAAUCCAGAGGGAAGAGAGGAGUAGGGAAAAUGGUGGAAAGGGAAGGUUUUUGAGAUGGAAGGCAGAGAAUGGGAACAAAAGAAGAAAAAGCUGUUUGUUUCAAAUCAAUAUUCUCCAAGAGGAUGUCUUGUUUCCCCAGGGAUAUUCUGAGGGACUCACAGGAUCAGAGCUGCGACACUUCUAACAUAUGAAUUCUCUCAAUUCUGAUGCCCUUUGACCUCUGCCACACAAUGCCAAGACAAACCCAGACCCCAGGCCCUGGAAACAGAGGAGGGGCAGGACGUGAUAGAGCUUCAGCAACAUGGAGAGGAGAUAGCCGGUCUGGCUAGGAUGGAAGAAAUGUACAUGGAGAAGAAAGACAGAAGAACCAUCACUGAGCACUAAACUAAUCAGCCAUAAUGUGCAGAUUGACUGGCAAGCCUAUCACCACCUUGAUAACAGAUGACAUUAAAGAGAAAGUAUCAAUGUGAGGAUUAAAUGGGAUGAAAAAUAAAACAUCUGUCGGAGUGCCUGGAAUAUGAGCCUAGUAGAGCACCCAGCACACAGUAGGCUCUUAAUACAUGCUUGGGAUGAUUGAGGCAUUUUCUUCCACCAUAUUCCAUGAUCUUCUAGCCCUGGGGGUGCAGAGAGAUUACCUGGCCAAGAAGACUAGGGGUACACAAAUAUCCAAGAUUGGAAAGAAGAAAGAAAAUGACGACAGAAUUUUGCAGUCUACAAGGCAAACACUGCCAUUCAUGUAGUUAUGGAGUUCCUACUAUGUGCAGACAAUGGGAAACUUUACGAAGGGACACAGAGGUUCAUGUGAUGUAAUAAGAAAGAAAUAAAGGAAGCUUUAUCUGCCGCUCUUUCAACCUCAUCCACUCAACACUUACCCCGUGACAGACCCCAAUACUCUUAAUGAAUUCCCAAGGUUACGAAAGAACUUGGAAGAUCUUACAUUCCUACAUGGUGAUUACAGAGGCUCACAUUUUGCCAAGUCAUAUGCAGGUGGCUGAAAAAUGUGAUCUAACGUCCUUGAACACAUUUAUUACAAUCCAUCAUCUACAUGGCAACAGUCAGGGCCAUGCUCAUAAACCAGAACUGGUGCUAGAUCUGGUAAGUCAUUAAGCAAACAUAUUCCUGUGUUGUGCGUGGCGUGCAUGCCCACUGCCUGCCUAUAAAACGGAAAUAAGAUUUCUGAUUUGCAAAUUACCUCCUAAGACAUGUAAAGCUAGCUCCUUUAAUCCACAUUACUCAUUUUUGUAUUUUGACUGUUUCAAAUGCUAAAACAGACCUGAAUACAGUUUCCACAGUUCUCUUUAUAAUUAUUGUAUUUUUCAUUUACAUGAUCAUGAAACCUGUUAGCAAGUGAGAAACAGAAUCAUUUUCACUGAGACAAAAAAUAUUGAGAAUUAGGGGGAGAAACUCUGAAGCAAUAUAAACAACAGAGUCUAAUCUUAUCAAAGAGAGAAGGCAGUUGGUGAAUCUGAAAGAUCACUUACUUACCACUCAAUCAUAGAACUUAUACCCCCAAAUAGGAUUUAAGAAAGAAAAAAGCAAUUUAGUAGGAACUGGAAGUUAUAGGGCAUAGGUCUGCUUUAGUUGGUGACAAAAAUUAUGCCUCAGAGGUUAAGAGCAUGGAUUAGGGUGCUGGGUUGCCUGGUUUAAAUCCUAGCUCUGGCACUUACUACUGCAUGGUCCUUGACCAGUUAUUUAACUACUCUGUGCCUCGGCUUCCCAGUGUGGAAAGCAGAAAAACAGUAUCUCCCUUACAGAGAGGCUUUAAAGUUUAAAUGCAUUAACAAAGGGAAAAUCCUUUCAAUGUUGACACAUCAUGAGUGUGACAUAAGUAUUACCUAUUAUUUUUAUUAUGUGACCAAAUGUGGAAGAAAAAUUCUAUAAGAAAGUAGUAACAUUGUUUAGUCUUUCAAAAAUCAUAUAUUCUCCUCCAAUCCUGGCUCUCUGCAAUUCAAGAAAUCCUAACAAAUAGAAAACCUUUGUACACAGGAGAAAACGGAGAUGAGCAAAGGCAAUAUUUGGCUUAUUUGUUAUAACCCUAAUAAAACAAGACUGCUUGAAGAAAUAGACCAAAUUGUGGAAUGUUUAACAUUGAUCCAGGACUGGCUCUUCUGAGGAAAAGAUAUAAUAUUUAUCAUGUGGCCAAUUUUGUCUGUGAAGAUAAGGAGGAACUAAUCGGUCUCAACUUCAUGAUGUUGCUUAAAGGAGCAUAUAAAUGUACGAUCAUAAGUAUCCUUUAAAUGAAGGGGUUGGUUUUAUGACUGCAGAAGUGAGAAAGAGUAAGGUCAUUUAGCCUGAGCAACACAGCAAAACCUUGUCUCUACUAAAAAUUAAACAAAACAACCAAAAAAUCACUCAGGUGUGGUGGCGCAUGCCUGUGGUCCCAACUACUCAGGAGGCUGAGGUGGGAGGAUUGCUUGAGCCUGAGAGGUGGAGGUUGCAGUGAGCCUUGAUUGCGCCACAGCACUCUAGCCUGGGUGACAGAGCAAGACUGUCAAAAAAGGAAAGAAAAGAAAGAAAAGAAAAAGAAAGAAACUAAAACAGAAAGAAAAGAAAGAAAGAAUGGGAGAGAGAGAGGAAGGAAGGAAGGAAGGAGAAAGAAGA